rnacentral:rRNA from 1 species
UGCAGUCGACGGCAGCACAGGAGGAGCUUGCUCCUUGGGUGGCGAGUGGCGGACGGGUGAGGAAUACAUCGGAAUCUACUUUUUCGUGGGGGAUAACGUACGGAAACUUACGCUAAUACCGCAUUACUACCUACAGGUGAAAGCAGGGGACCUUCGGGCCUUGCGCGAUUGAAUGAGCCGAUGUCGGAUUAGCUAGUUGGCGGGGUAAAGGCCCACCAAGGCGACGAUCCGUAGCUGGUCUGAGAGGAUGAUCAGCCACACUGGAACUGAGACACGGUCCAGACUCCUACGGGAGGCAGCAGUGGGGAAUAUUGGACAAUGGGCGCAAGCCUGAUCCAGCCAUACCGCGUGGGUGAAGAAGGCCUUCGGGUUGUAAAGCCCUUUUGUUGGGAAAGAAAUCCAGCUGGCUAAUACCCGGUUGGGAUGACGGUACCCAAAGAAUAAGCACCGGCUAACUUCGUGCCAGCAGCCGCGGUAAUACGAAGGGUGCAAGCGUUACUCGGAAUUACUGGGCGUAAGCGUGCGUAGGUGGUCGUUUAAGUCCGUUGUGAAAGCCCUGGGCUCACCUGGGAACUGCAGUGGAUACUGGGCGACUAGAGUGUGGUAGAGGGUAGCGGAAUUCCUGGUGUACCACUGAAAUGCGUAAGAUCGAGGAGUCCAUGGCGAAGCAGCUACUGGACCACACUGAACUGAGCACGAAACGUGGGAGCAAACAGAUUAAUCCCCGGUAGUCGCGCCCAAACAAGCUAACGGAGUUGGUGCAAUUGGAAGCGUAUCGAGCUAGGCGUUAGUCGCCCCUGGGAGUGGGUCGCAGAUGAACUCAGGGAUUGACGGGGCCGCACAGCGUGGAGAGUGGUUGCUUCAUGUACGCGAGAGCUCCCCGACAUGAGUGGGGGAGCUGCAGAGAUGAUGGU